UAAGAGUUAGUUUAAUUUUAAAAUAGUAGAUUGUUACUCUAAAGAUUGAGAUCUUAG
rnacentral:tRNA from 1 species